rnacentral:rRNA from 1 species
AUUGAACGCUGGCGGCAUGCCUAACACAUGCAAGUCGAACGGAAACGAUGGAAGCUUGCUUCCAGGCGUCGAGUGGCGGACGGGUGAGUAAUGCUUAGGAAUCUGCCCAAUAGUGGGGGACAACCAGGAGAAAUUCUGGCUAAUACCGCAUACGCACUACGGUGGAAAGUGGGGGACCUUCGGGCCUCACGCUAUUGGAUGAGCCUAAGUCGGAUUAGCUUGUUGGUGGGGUAAUGGCUCACCAAGGCGACGAUCCGUAGCUGGUCUGAGAGGACGAUCAGCCACACUGGGACUGAGACACGGCCCAGACUCCUACGGGAGGCAGCAGUGGGGAAUAUUGGACAAUGGGCGUAAGCCUGAUCCAGCAAUGCCGCGUGUGUGAAGAAGGCCUGCGGGUUGUAAAGCACUUUCAGUAGAGAAGAAAAGCCUGAGGUUAAUACCCUCAAGUCUUGACGUAACCUACAGAAGAAGCACCGGCUAACUCCGUG